rnacentral:rRNA from 1 species
CCUACGGGGGGCUGCAGUGGGGAAUAUUGGACAAUGGGCGAAAGCCUGAUCCAGCCAUGCCGCGUGUGUGAAGAAGGCCUUCGGGUUGUAAAGCACUUUCAGUGGGGAAGAAAGCCUUGGGGCUAAUACCCUCGAGGAAGGACAUCACCCACAGAAGAAGCACCGGCUAACUCCGUGCCAGCAGCCGCGGUAAUACGGAGGGUGCGAGCGUUAAUCGGAAUUACUGGGCGUAAAGCGCGCGUAGGCGGUCUGAUAAGCCGGUUGUGAAAGCCCCGGGCUCAACCUGGGAACGGCAUCCGAAACUGUCAGGCUAGAGUGCAGGAGAGGAAGGUAGAAUUCCCGGUGUAGCGGUGAAAUGCGUAGAGAUCGGGAGGAAUACCAGUGGCGAAGGCGGUCUUCUGGACUGACACUGACGCUGAGGUGCGAAAGCGUGGGUAGCAAACAGGAUUAGAUACCCUAGUAGUC